rfam:Brachypodium distachyon strain Bd21 chromosome 4, whole genome shotgun sequence.
AAACUACUACCUCCGUUCCAUAAUUCUCGUCGAAAUAUUACAUGUAUCUAGACGUCUUUUAUAAAUAGAUACAUCCAAUUUUGGGCAAAUUUGAGACAAGAAUUAUGAAACGGAGGGAGUAGUAA